AUAAGGAAGAGGCAGAGUGAAAAUACUUUUCAGCUUUACCGAUAGGGAAAGCCUGGAGCUCCAUCCAUUUUUUAUUGUCUAAGAUAAUAAACGCGCGACUGAACUGUGAAGCUGAUGUAUGGUCCGAGUUGGCCAUAGCGUUUAUGUUCUCGAAAAGUUUAAAAUAAGGAUUCGACCAAACGAAAGACUGAUUUGAUAUCGUGUAGGACUUGAUUAGCUAUACUAAUCAAAACGACAGUGUUAUUGUUGAUUCUGUUUCAGGUAAUCUGAAGGAGUCAGAUCUGGACGACUUACGGACGAUUGUUACCUGAGGUAAUCCCUGAGGACGUCUAACGAUAUCCAGAAUGAAUGAACCAAGGAUCUUUGGUGAGGUUAUUCGUCGACGGGUAAUUUUGAAACCCCCCCCCCCCAAAAGGUGGUAGUCGAUUUGAAUUGAUUGAAGUUCGUGUUGGAGCAUAGUGUAGAGCGCAUAGAGAGCGCAUAGCAUAGCGCAUAGCAGAGCGGAACACUUAUCUCGGAACUUGAGUAGAGAAUUGAGUACAAAGAUUAGAGGUCACACGAGACAGUGACCACCCUGCGCAUUGGAAACAAAAACCCGAAUUUAAGAUCGUUGAAAUGCGGUCAGGUCGCCGAUGAAAUUGCAAGGACUGUAGCUACAGCACGUGCACGUCGGAAGAAAAAAAUAUACAAGCGCGUCGUACGAAAAUAUAUUUUAAAACAGUAGAGUAUCGUAAAGUCGGACUAGAAAAAAGAUUUCAUCGUGGAGUUUCAUAGCGCCACGGGAGUGAUGAUUUUUUCAAUUUGAGAACUACGCCAAAAUAUCGUUGUCGUGCGAAUCGAACCAACAUGUGAAACUAAUCAGUCAAACGAAGAGACGAACUGGUCACAUCAGUGUUCUUCGUCACAAAAGUUUGUUCUCCUGGCCAACUUACGCCUGUAAACAUAAUCUUGCACCUUAAAAUUAAUCCAACCAAACGCAGCAAAACCCUCUCGUUCUCUACUUUUGCUGUUGCUGCAAGAGCACCAAUUAUAGUGUGGAUUAAUUUUAAGGCGCACGAUUGUGUUUACAGGCGUAAGUCGACGAGGAGAACAAACUUUUGGCGUACCCACAACAAAUUAAUAAAAAAACAACAACACACAUUGUUUUUUUCUCGAUAUUAUUACAUUCAAGUUUAGUUUUAAAAAUACUUAAACUUAUAUUUUGUCUGGUUACUCUUAAGUUUUAGACAUGUUGAAUAAAAAAAUAUUUUUUGUUAUUUUAUCAAAUCUGGCAACAACUGGGCAGACGACGUACUAUUUACCCAGUUCGUUUUCUGUUAACUUUCAGUAAUGGAAUCGAGUGAAAUAAUUUGGAAUUUUGGCCAUAACAUUACUGGUCAUAAUUUUUAUGGGAGCCGUAGUAUGGGUUAUCGUUUAUUUAGAGUAUUUUUUGGGACAACCCCACAAGUUUGUGAAGUUGAGCCAGUAGUGGAAUAAACGAGGCUUUAGUCGUCUAUUUAUGUUUAUAAAUUCCGAUUUUACUUCAUCUUUUCUUACUUCAGGUUUUUUAAUGCGUCCUAAAGUACGUUUUACUCCAGCUCCCGGCGUGAAACCCACGUUAAAAACCACUAGUGACAAUAUCCCUAAAAAAAAUUCAGACAUCAUCAUUAAAAGGAAGUUAGGAAAAAACGUAAUAAAAUAAACGAUCCGAUUAUAAACGGCUCUACAAGAAAAAAAGAAAAAAGGUUUACAGUCGCAUCAUACGGAAAAAAUACACACAUUUUGAAGAGGAAAACGGAGAGAUAUUUAAAAUAUCAAAAUCCAUUAAGGUUUUCAAAGAUGAAAACUUAUCAUGAUUUGUUUUGGGGAAUGUCGUCCAUUCUGGGACUUCCCUCGUGUGACAAGCUCAACCUCAUUUGCAGAAUUGAUGCUGUCCAGUUUACGGCAACACCUGUGUAUCCACCAAUCAUGAUGGGGUUCAUAGAUGUCUUCACGUUGUAUCUGCAGCUAGUCACCUACCGUUUCACCUGGAAGGUAACGUCUUCAAAAAGUUCGAUGAAAUGGUGGAUGAUAAUUAUUGCCCCCCACUCAGUAGCCCACGGAGUGGGUAAGCCGCAUGAUGGUGGUGGGAAAACCAGAUGGAAAGGUUCAGAUUUGCUUAAACCUGGCUGAACUCAAUCAUUAAAAGACAACACUGUCGUGCCCUACCGUUGAGCACUAUUUAGCAAAUAAAGUAAAACACGUCAUUUUUGCAGGCUUGGAGUUUCUAUGAGAUUCCGUAGUCCAAUUCAGCAUUUGUGCACUAUGGCAGCACCAAAAAGUCAAUACCACUACCUACGCUUGUCAUUCGAAUGGAAGUCGACUCCUGAACUUUUCCUGAUCGAGGUCGCGAUCACUAAAAAAUACCGCGGUCGUGAUCGUGCGAUCAAACGAUUGCGAUCAUCACAACUUUUGAGCUCGUGUCCUCUGCAAGCCAGUUCUGCGCUUAGGAGGGUCACAUAUUUUGUUAAUCGUUGUUUUGUAGGCAUUAGCAUUCGAAGAUAAAAAAGGUUUUAGAGUUAUUAAUUUACAUUAUAAAAGCUUUUGCAUUUUUUUACUUCUCCGUUAAAAAUUCUUUUUAUUCUCUGUAUUUUUGUAGAAAAGUGAGGUUUUUUGUUUUUGGUUUACUUCUUUCAGUAGUAGCAGUAACAAUUCAUUGGUUUCUUUUUAAAAAGGCGGGUUUGUUGUGCUGCAAUGUUUGCCGAAACAGCAAAACCUGUCUAGGCUAAGAUGACAAAAACACCAUGGCGUCGAAAGUUUAGAAACCAAAUUAUGAAUAUCCAAGACAAGUAGACUUUUGCUAUUGGUCUAACAAACUACCAACCAUGAGUCAACGUUAUGAAUUUCUA